rnacentral:lncRNA from 1 species
GUUCACCAUUUUGUGUGUCCAAGGACCACCUACUUUUUACAUAUGACAAGAACUACCCACCUCCACUCUUCAGAACAUGCUGGAGAAAAGAGUUACAAUGAGAAAAUAUAUGGGAACAAAAUACCUAUGCAAUGCAGAAGUCUGCAUAACUAAACCACUCAGAGGAAAAAAAUUGCCAUUUCAGGACACCUCCUACAUCUGAAGAAAUAUGUAUUGAUCUUGAAAUAUUUUUCUCCUCCAAAUAAAAGUCAGUAUGAUAACAACUACACUAUCAGAA